CUGGAUGUGGCCACCCUGUGGCUCGAGGUCAAUUUAGAGUGUCCAUUGAACAAGGAGCAAUGGGGAUUGGGUACCCGGCAACUCUUCAGUCGCAUAAUAAUAAUAAAUGAUAUGUAUUGAGAGAGUCCCAAAGUCUGGGUCAUUCUCCCCCAACCUUUACUUUAGAGUUAUAUAUUUAUUACUGUAUAUGUAUAUGCUUAAAACAACAUGACGUUUUAAUGACUUUAUCAAAGAUUUUACAGAUAAGUGCUUAAAUUUGUAAUUUGGGUUGCGAUACUUUGCUUUGUUUUCUUUAAAUUAAGUGUUUCCCAAUACAUAGAAAGUAUUGGCAAACACUUUAACAUACAGUAGAGCAACACAACAAUAUACUAUUAUAUUACUUAUUUCAGCUUCCUUCUUUCUAGGGGGCGCCACUGCAGAUGAUCCACAUAUUAAGAUUCCCCUCCUGACGCAAAAACCUCCCAUUUAUCUGAGCUGUGGCUGGAGGUCAAUUUAACACACUACAAGGAGCCACUGCAGAGGGGUCGGAGAGCCGCAUGAAGCUCGGGAGCCGCAGGUUGCAGACCCCUGGUCCAUUGUAGCCAGACUCUCCCUGAUAAGGAUGAUGGAUGGGGCAGAACUCUGGCUCCAGCCGAGCCCCGGCAGCUUCCUGGGAGCUGAGAGAUACUGAGGAGG